GACGAACGCUGGCGGCGUGCUUAACACAUGCAAGUCGAACGAAGUGGCGCACGGGUGAGUAACGCGUAAUCAACCUGCCCUUCAGCGGGGGACAACAGUUGGAAACGACUGCUAAUACCGCAUACUGAAGGUGGGGAUUGCGUCUGAUGAGCUAGGUGGCGGGGUUACGGCCCACCAAGGCGAUGAUCAGUAGCCGGUCUGAGAGGAGGAACGGCCACAUUGGGACUGAGAACAGGCCCAGAAUCCUACGGGAGGCAGCAGUGGGGAAUCUGCCGCAAGGGACGAAAGUCUGACGGAGCAACGCCGCGGGAGUGAGGACGGCCUUCGGGUUGUAAAGCUCUGUUAAUCGGGACGCGGUACCGGAAGAGAAAGCCACGGCUAACUACGUGACAGCAGCCGCGGUAAUAC
rnacentral:rRNA from 1 species